GCCUUGUGCAUAUCAAAUACGGCGCGAAUCCUACCGGAGUAAUUAAUAUCGCACCGUGGUUAUGAAUUUCCUGGCAUAAACGACCAAUCGGAUUUGCAUGGCUUGCACGGCGGUAAUUAAGAUGAAGCAUCAGGGAAAACCGGUACGCGAAUCUUUCGGCUAAUUCUCCCCUCUGUGUUCCUUUCCCCUCUCCGAGGACUUCUCCUUUAGUCACAGCUUUCUUAAAUAUUUGCAGGGAAAACAAGGUGUUGACAUUUUGCCUUUUCAUUGUCAUGCAGCUCAGAGGAAACACGCUGGGAUAAUUUCACAGCUGUAACACAGACCACGCCGACUUAUUUCUUGCAGUCAUACUUAUUCUUCCUUAGGAGAAAAAAAAAGAAAAAGCGGGCCUUCGGCUUAUCGAAGGCAGGCGCAAAAUGGUUUUUCCGCAGGUCUUGAUUUUCACAUUUUUCUCUUUUAGUUUUGUUUGGAUAGCUCCGAGUGUGGCGGUGGGUUGGAUUUUCUGUUCUUCUUCUUUUAACCACCUCUGCUCCAUUACUGGUUACACUAGAUUGUAUUUCCCAUGCGGGGUUGGCCCCAAACCACUCAAAAGCCCAAAAGCUGUCAGCAUGGAUUGACAUCAGCUGGUUGUCAUCAGGUGCUGGCAGAUAUUGACCUUGUGGUAGUAGUGAGACAGCCAGUGAGACACGCGACGGUGUCAGGACGACACAUGGAGUCAUUGAUUGUUGCGGAGAAGAUAUUAGUGCAAUCAAUGCAACGUUUGCAGGAAGCGAAGCCCAUCAUCUCACUCUCUCACCUCACCUUUCGUCCAUGUCAAGGAGGAAGAGUGAACAUGCACGGCCAACAAACUGUGGGAUCUACGUCUCCUCCUGGGUUUGAAGCAGAGAUCUUUUGCUUGUUAAACCAUUGUUUAAACCAUUACACUGUGAAGCCAAUGAUGGGGCACAAUAUAGAAGCCAGUGUAUCUGUUCAUGCAAUAAAUCACUUAAAAAAAAAGAUGGGAAUAACUGUGGGUUAAUCUUUCUGUCAGUGUAUUGUGACUUUAGACCCUGUCCUCUGCACUUAACCCAUA